rnacentral:lncRNA from 1 species
CUCCGCUGACUGGAUAGGGCGUUAUAUCAAUUCCACUGACCUUAACAUCGUACUUGGCCUUUUUAUUGCAAUACUCGAAAUCGGUGGAUUCAGCGGAAGUGAGAGGAGAGAGAAGACAUAGGAAUAACAGAAGACCAACCUGCAAAACCAAAAAAAUAAUUUCAUCAGUUGCCAAAUAAUAUCAGAAUUAUCUAUAAUAAAGUUUCCUCAAUGUUUCCCUGAAGAAUAUUUUAGACGGAUUCAUCACUACUAAAAUGCUCAAUUUCACUGGAAAAAUAUCUUCUUAAUACAAAAAUAUUGUUUUAAAAUCUAGAAGUUAAUUCUAUACACCUUCUCAGACAUUUAGGGUUAAGAAAAAAGCGAUCUUUGAUUUUUUUUUUUCAAAGUUACUACUUAUAAUACUACAGAGUGAUUAUUGUGAUCAUUUAGCAGUAUGUACAAAAUUACCACUUAUAGCAGGUUUUUCGUGAAGUACAACUCAUAGCUUGUCAUGUAGUUUGUAAAUAUCUAAUAAAUUAUAUUUCAAAAAGAGAAAGAAUUUCUAACAAACUUAAAUCCGCAAGAUGGACUUCCUCCAAGAGUGAAAAAGAUAAUAAAACAAAGCUUGUACAAGCUUCCAACUUUAGCAAAGAAUAUUAAUUCAACAAAUCACCAAAAAUCAGAGAGUAAAAAAUAGAAAAAGAAUAAAAGGAAAAGAAAACCCUAAAAAUUGAAAAACGCAAAUGGGUAUCUACCAAACAGAUUCAACAGACAAUCAAAAAAAUGAUCCAACAAAAUCUACAUUGGAAAAACUAAAUCAACAAAAUUUGGGUUGCGUAUUGAAACAGAAAGAAAGUCAAAGGACUAAAAAGGAAAAACUCACUGCAAUACUCGAAAUCGGUGGAUUCAGCGGAAGUGAGAGGAGAGAGAAGACAUAGGAAUAACAGAAGACCAACAAAGAGUUUCACGGCAAUCAUUGCCAUUUGAUCGGAGUAAAGCAAAGGACGGAUACAGAUAAAGAU